AUGAACGCUGGCGGCGUGCCUAAUACAUGCAAGUCGAGCGAACAGACGAGGAGCUUGCUCCUCUGACGUUAGCGGCGGACGGGUGAGUAACACGUGGAUAACCUACCUAUAAGACUGGGAUAACUUCGGGAAACCGGAGCUAAUACCGGAUAAUAUAUUGAACCGCAUGGUUCAAUAGGAAAAGACGGUUUUGCUGUCACUUAUAGAUGGAUCCGCGCCGCAUUAGCUAGUUGGUAAGGUAACGGCUUACCAAGGCAACGAUGCGUAGCCGACCUGAGAGGGUGAUCGGCCACACUGGAACUGAGACACGGUCCAGACUCCUACGGGAGGCAGCAGUAGGGAAUCUUCCGCAAUGGGCGAAAGCCUGACGGAGCAACGCCGCGUGAGUGAUGAAGGUCUUAGGAUCGUAAAACUCUGUUAUUAGGGAAGAACAAAUGUGUAAGUAACUAUGCACGUCUUGACGGUACCUAAUCAGAAAGCCACGGCUAACUACGUG
rnacentral:rRNA from 1 species